rnacentral:lncRNA from 1 species
UUUCUUUACUCUAUGAUCUAUAUCCCCGUGCGUUUUCUGCUGAUUGAGGAAUUCAUCAUUGUAAUUCCGUGUCAAAUUAGUCGGGAGCAGCAUUCUUUUUCUUUCUGUAUGUUAAAUUUUCUUAUGUAUUUUUUACUUACACCCAUAAUUACUUAACCCUAUAGAGCUAGCAAAGUAUAUACGAAGUAUCUUGUAGCUAUAAUCUUGAUCUUUUCCACUUGAAAUUGUUUUUUAUGGGUUUUGAUGUUUUGAUUGAAAAAUCAUAAGUACUGCUGCUGAAUAAGCUUUGGCGUAACCUGCUGUACUUGUAGUGUAAUCAAAGGUUUGGGUGGAAUCUUCUCUUGUUGCUGGAUUUGUCAGUGUGUGUAUAAAUAGCUUUGAACAAAAAUAUGCAAAAGCUUCAGAAUGCUGUCUGAGUGUCUGGGCGUCUGACUGUGCGAAUCAAACCCAACCCCAAAAUCAAGCAUGCAUGGAAAAGAAAUUAAUUCUGCAGCAGAUUUCAGACCUUUUUCCCAACCUACCCAGCAGACAGCAGUGCACCACAGACGACAGAUCAAUAUUUAUACAACGCAAGAUUCUCUACGUAGAAACAAAAAAUAGGCAUGCGUUGAUUAUGUACUUCUUUUUCUUCUUAAUUAGGGUUUUGCGACAAGAACUUAAUUAAUUAGAA